rnacentral:rRNA from 1 species
GACAGAGGGUGCAAACGUUGUUCGGAAUUACUGGGCGUAAAGCGCGUGUAGGCGGCCAUGCAAGUCGGAUGUGAAAGCCCUCGGCUCAACCGGGGAAGUGCACUCGAAACUGCAAGGCUAGAGUCUCGGAGAGGAUCGUGGAAUUCUCGGUGUAGAGGUGAAAUUCGUAGAUAUCGAGAGGAACACCUGCGGCGAAGGCGGGUUGCUGGGCCGACACUGACGCUGAGUGCGCGAAAGCCAGGGGAGCGAACGGG